GCGCCACCCUGGAAAACGGUGUGGCAGGUUCUCACAAAGGGAGACGGUCCUGUCCCAGGCAGUCGCGCACCUCGGCACUGACGCAAGAGAAAUGAACCCGCGAACCCGCACGCGGAUGUUCAGAGGGCUCUAUUCACAACAACUAAAAAGCGGAGACAAGCAAAUGUCUUCAGUGGGUAAGUGGACGGGUGGGGUCCCUCCGUGCCGGGAGCGAAUGAGAAGCCCAAACCAUCCGCUCGGGUAAAGAGCUUAGACAAAUCCCAGAUGCGUUGGCUGAGCGAGAGAAGCCUCUCCGGAAGGCCACGGACCUGACAGAGUAGGCACGUCCCCGGGGACAGAAGCUGCUCUGGUGGCAGGAACAGGGGUGGCGGGGCGGCGGAGGGCAGAGGGGCACGCGGACACUUUUGGAGCCCGGACCCUGGUGGCCAUGUGCCUGCAUCUGUCAAAACCCGCAGAUCUGUCCCCAGAAAGUGAGCCCUACCGUACGUAAAUCAUACCUUGUUUAAAACACACACGCACAGGCUCCAAGAUCUUCCUCAAAAACACACCCCUUGGGUUGGGGGACAGGAAGGCCAAAGGAGUGCCAAGUCCCCAAGUCCCCACGCCCCAAGUCCAGAGCUCCAAGUCCCCACGUCCCCAAGUCCCCAGGCCCCAAGUCCCCAGGCCCCAACUCCAGAGCUCCAAGUCCCCAGGCCCCCAAGUCCCCACACCCCAAGUCCCCAUGCCCCAAGUCCCCAAGUCCCCAGGCCCCAAAUCCCCAUACCCCAAGUCCCCAGGCCCCAAGUCCCCAAGCCCCCAAGUCCCCAGGCCCCAAGUCCCCAGGCACCAAGUCCAGAGCUCCAAGGAAAGGGUGGGGGCAGGACAGACGUGACCUCCAGCCACAGGACUGCUAUGCCAGGGUGGUGCGUCAGUCCUUCCUCCAGCCAGCGAGGACCGAGGGACAGACCCCCCUGAGGAGCCUCGGCGGUGUGAGGCAGCGCCCCAACCCACAGAAGACACACCUGCCACCGGCGUGCCCCUGACCGGGGUCUUGAGUGCCAUUCGGCCACCCGCUGGCCCCCCUGCUCCUCGCCCCCCGGGACGUGCUCUCCACACCGUGGCCGGAGCGAACCCUGAGGGGCACAGAUCUGGCGCAUCCCUGCUUACGACCCUCCCGAGUCGUCCGUCCCCGAGUCGUCCGCCGGGGCACCUGGGAUGAAACCCAGCCUCCGGCGGCAUCGGCCCCCUGGCCCUGCGGCCCUUCCGGCACCCGGGGGAGCCUGCUGCUCCCGGGGCGGCUUCCGGCCUCUGCCUCCUCCAAGCAGCCCUCGUCGCACCCCACCGUGCACCCCACCCCUGGUCUGUUUCCUCCGGGCUUUGAGCUUAACAUUUUCCUCCGUGUUUAUUUACUCUCCUCCUGCUGCACAUGCUAUAAACUCGGUGACAGCGGGAGCUCUUGGUGGCCCGUUGGCUUCUGAGGCCCCACAGGGGGUUCUCUGUUCACAGUUGCGGAUGAACGAGGGAGGAAAGUCACGUCGGCCAGCGGGGGGCGCUACACCGUGGCCUCCGGAGACACCGCAGCACUCGCGGCCGGGGCACGGGCUGUGUGGGUGGCCUCAGCCUGCCUUGUCCGUGGCCGCAGCAGGCCCUCGAGGCCGCAGCCUCGUCCCCCAAGCCCCCCAGAGUCCACGCAGGGGGCAGCUGCCGGGCCUCCCCCGUCCUGCCCGCCCAGCGCCCUGGAGGGCAGUGCUCCACAGCCACACACAGCAGGCUCUGUGCGUGGGGAGAUGGGGGGCAUGCUGCCGGCUGGCCCCACAGUUAGGAGAGGGGGCGCUCGGGCGGGGCGUCCUGCCCGCCGGGAGCGUGGUAGUCCUGGGACUGGAAACCCGCUUCAAACCGCAGGCGGGCUCGGCGGCAGUGAAUGACAAACACAGAGCGGGGGAUGGUGCCCAGAACAGGGAGGACCGAGGACCAACCGGCCGCGUCGCUGAUGAGCCUCGAGCGCGUCGUGCGGAGACACAGAGACCCGAGCCACCCCGUUCUGCGGACCCACAGAAAGGCCAUCGGUGGCUGCCGGGGCUGGGGGUCCCGAGUGACUGGUCAACGGGUCUGGGUCUCCCCCAGCUGGGGCUGCCCGGCCCCCGCGCACGCUUAUGGCUGAGCUGUGGGGUCGCGAAGUAAACCCCACACUGUCAGAAGCGACACAUGCUGCCGGAGGCCAUCCUGGCCUUCACGGACGACACAGGUUAUGACACAGACAGAGCCACAGACUUAAUUCCGGGAAAAAGAAAAUGCACACGUGAAGCCCGCCUCUUGCCCCACCCCUACUCCAGCCGGGGUCAGGAGGGCCCGGGCACAGACAGCCCACCGGAGGCGGGGCAUGCACAGACAAGGCCCAAGGCACUGAAGGGUGGCCUCCCUGGAGGCAGGGGUGCAUCCGGCUAUGGCUUCUGCAGCCCCCUCUCCCCUCACCUGCAGAGACACCCUGGCCCCAGGGCUGGGGCGGGGGGGGGGGGGGGGGCUCUUUCUUGACGAUGGGUGGGCACUGAGCAGGUGGCAUCGCCCUCUCAGCCCCCCGGGGGAGACCAGGGGCACAGAGGAGCGGGGCCCCAGCCCCAGUGUUGCGGGGGUGGGUGCCAUCCAGGAAGGGCCAGUCUGCCCUCCAGGGCUGCCCCAGACAAGCUGAGCCCCUAUGCCCUGCCCACUCUGCCAGGGCUGGUCCAGCUCCAGAUGUGAAAAGAUGCAGGGAAGGCGAGCUCUCCGAAACCCGGACCACACCCUGGCCUUUCCUCCGUGUGCCUCCUGGGGCCAAGUCAGACAGAGAUGCCCUGCGGGCUGAGGAGGAGGCCCCACUGUGGGUCAAGGAAGGCUCUGGCCAUGAAGAGGCCACCUCCUCCCCUCUCAAAAGGAAGCAGGGACUUCCAGCAGCUCCUGGUGAGAGGUAGGGAGGGGUGAGGGCGGGGGAGCCCCUCCCCUGCAGGCUGUGUGGAGGGGUGGGCCCUGGGCCACGCCCAGCUGCAGCACAACCACCCAGGAGGCAGGAACCGGGGCUCCCCCGAGCACCCUUCACCUGCUCCUGCCCUUGUGCCAAGCUCGAGCCAACAGCCACUGAGGACAGAAUUGGUGGGCGAGGGGCCGUCUGGCUUCCCUGCCUCGGCCCCUCCCAGCGUCAUGCUGUGAAGGCCAAGGGGACGGGUGUGGGGGUUGCCACCUCGCCCAGCAGCGCCUUUGCCCCCACCCUGGGGUCUGAGCCUUGUGGGGAGGAGCCCUGGGACUCAGGGGCUGGUUGGAGCCGGUACCCCCAGCGUGGCUCAGACCCAACACUUCCCUUGGAGGUUCUUGUUCUGUCCAUCUCCGCUCACCAGAGCUGUUCCAGACCCCACGGGCUCGGUUCUCCAGCUUCCUGACGAUCCAGGAGCCCCAGGAUCCUUCCAGUCACUUCUCACUGGUUUCGGUGGCUCAGGGCCGCUGACCGUCUCCCCCAGGCCCAGCCGUCAGGUUCGUGGCACUGCUCUCUGCCCCCAGACCUCUGCCCUCGGGGGAGAAGCAGUCUCCGGGUCUCCGUGCCUCCACCCUGCUGACCACAGAGGGAGCCCGAACUGUGCUGACGAUGUCAAGGGCCCCCUGGCCCCCUGCCUAGUCAGCCUCCACCCCAGGGAGCCCCUGCAGGAGCUGGGAGGGCGGAGGCCAGAUCCUCCCUAUGGUCACCGGGGGCCUCGCCUACACAGUUCACCUCGACCUUCUAGAACCGGUCCUCCCCUCCACCCUUUGACCUGGGUGGGUCAGCUCUGCUGCUCCCAGCUCUAGGUUCCUGCACGGGCUCUCAGGGUCCCCUGCACCCCACCCACGUGCGCAUAGUUUCUGUGUAAACACACGACCCACUUUCUCCUCAUCUGUGGGUGCCCUCUGUGUCCCUCCAGGAAAUGGGUCGGGGCUGGGCAUCUCUGCCUGGGGCUUCAGGAGGGGCCCCUGCCCCCACCCUCACCUGGAAUCCAAACCAGGCAGCUGCCUCCAAUGUCCUGUCCCUCAGGUACCUUCAGCACCCCGAUCACAGGCUGCAGGCCGCCGUGACCCUGCCCCAGCUUCAGUGUGCAGGGCGGUCAGGACGUGGGCUCUGCGGGCCUGGGUCGUCCCAGCCCCCACUGUUCAGCAGCCAGGCCCCCGUGCCUCCUCCUCUUGCCAAACCUGGUGACGCGUCAGGCACCUGGUGGCAGGCCCCGGAGCUCGCACCCGUGAGAGCGCCUGUGGGGCCAGGUGGCGACCUCAACCACCAGGUUGCCUCAAGCCAGACUCUGGCCCACUGGCAGCUGCCCACCCGGGGUCUGGAGAUCCUCCCACGGGCCGGGCCUCCGGUUUUGCUGGGGCAGUCACACUAAGUAUGGGAAUGAGAAG
rnacentral:lncRNA from 1 species